CUCCCGGCAUUUCAAUAAUAAAUGUGAAACGUGGUUUCCGGUGAAUACGAAAGCUACAGGCCUACCGGCUAGCAUAUUUUAGCGAAAUUUGGCCAGAUAACUGCAAAAAUGGUUGACUACGGGUCAGGUCCAAUUAAAGAAAGUAUAGACAAUAGUGUAUUUAUAGUUCCUGGCAUUAUAAUUGGCGCUUUAUUUGCAUUUUUUGCCUAUAAGUUGAUAAAAAGUCUCAGAGACAAAGAAAAAAUGAAACAAGAAAAAAAGGAAUUAAAAGAAAAACGGAAAGAAAAAGAUCAAGCCAAAAGAACAAAAAAGAAAUGAGUUGUCUCCCCUUUUAGGAUAUUUAAAUUAAUUUCAUUGGAUGGAAAUAUCAUGUGAUUAAAUGGAUGGACAAAUGUGAAACAUAAAUAUAGCAACUAAGUGCAAUUUGACAGAAGACUUUUAUAAAUGAUGUCAGAAAUAUGAUUGAAUUUGUAGACUUUAAAAUUUUUAUUGAUUUUUAUGUCAGAUGUAAAGAUGGUUAUGGAGUAAAAUAAUUUUGUGCAUAAAUAAAUAAAAUCUGAAGUUAGUUUGUAUGAUGUAGUUUAUAAAAAAGAUAAAUAGCAAAGCAUUCUGGUCACGGGUUAGUUAUAGGUCAGAUGUAUACCAACCAAUAUAUACUCAAAAUGAGAGAAACUAUUUAUUUUGAUAAAGCAUUGUAAUAGUAAAAUUCAAAUCUCUUAAACAAGAGCUAAUUUAUGGGAAGGAACAGAAUUAAUGAACAUCUGAUUUAAAGUUAGAUAUAAACUUUACUUAUGAGAAAACUAUCACUGACAUGUACUAAUGAGCAGUGUUAAUUUGUUAUAGAUUAAGUCCAUAAUACAAUAUUGUUGAUAAUUAGUCUGACUGCUGGUGAAUCAUUAAGGCCAAAAUAUAUUAAAUACUUGUUCACUUUGUUUUAUGACAUGGAUUCACUUUUUGUCUUUUUACAACAAUAAAUGUUUCUGAAAAUUUAAUUUUACUUUCAGUUUCAAUCAUUUAAUAUAUUUUUUAUCAUGUGUUGAUUUAACCAUAACAAUGUUAAUUAUUAUUUGUAAAGUAUUAUAAAUAGAUGCAAGAGUUAUCAUAGUUAUUGUAAUGUUUUUCAUUUCAAACAUUAUUUUCAAAGUAUUAUAAACAUUGAUAAAUGGAUACAAGAGUCGGUGCAGUGUUUACAUUGAAUGGAAUAAGAGUGAAAUUUUAAAGUAUUUACCAGUUUGAUGAUUAUAAAAACAUAAAGCCUAUUGAUUGUAAUUGAUUGUAAUUGAUUGUAAUUGAUUGUAAUUGAUUGUAAUUGAUUGUAAUUUCUCAACAAACUGAAAUACUCAGCAGAAAUUAGUUCUCCUGCAUUGACUUUAAUUUUAUAUUGGUAUUAAUCAAUAGAUAGAACUUUGAGUUAUCUCCCUUUGUCCCCAUGUAAGGCAAUGUACACAAUUCCCUGCACGAGUCAACAUGGUGAAGAUUACACAAUUGACCAGUCAUGCCAAUAGGCUUUAGAAAGAAGUUGUUUUCAUUUGUUUAACCAAUGUUGAAUUCAUCACUUUGAUCUGGUAAAGAUUGUCUAUCUGUCUAGCUAGUUUCUUAUGUUUAAAUUUGGUUCCUAAAGGGAAAUAACCCUAACAUUAAUUAUUGGAAAGUCAACCUUUACUUUUGAUUGGUCUGUAUGGAAGAAGCCAAAGGGAAGUAACCCUAACUUCACUUAUUUCAAUGGAAAGUCAACCUUUAACUUUGAUUGGUCUGUAUGUAAGAAUAAGUUGUUCAUUUGUCAAUUUUAUUAAAUGGCUUUAGAAAUGUGAACCCGUAUAUAUAGCAACUAAGUUUAUUCUUUUUGUUCAUUAAUUUAUUAAAAACUUUGAAAUGAUCCGUUUUGGAAUAAUUAUGGUAAGUUUUAUUUGACCAUUGUACUUUUUAAUGAUCCGUUUCUAUAUAUGGUUACCAUAGUUUCUAACUUAUUAUAUACAGUUUUAUAUGACCAUUGUAUUUUUAAAGAUUUUAACGCCAUACGUAUUUGCCAUAGACAUUCACUGUUUGAAUUUAGCAUAAAAUAUCAUGUGUGACUUGUCUUCAAUAAGCACUAACAAAAUGAUCACCAUCUGAAAAAUACAAAUUGAUAAUUUACAGAGUUGUCUCCCAU